CGGAUUGCNGUCUGCAACUCGACUGCAUGAAGCCGGAAUCGCUAGUAAUCGCGGAUCAGAAUGCCGCGGUGAAUACGUUCCCGGGUCUUGUACACACCGCCCGUCACACCAUGGGAGUCGGAAAUGCCCGAAGCCGGUGGCCUAACCGAUAAGGGAGGAGCCGUCGAAGGCAGGUCUGAUGACUGGGGUGAAGUCGUAACAAGGUAAC
rnacentral:rRNA from 1 species